GUAGGUGGCAAGCGUUGUCCGGAAUUAUUGGGCGUAAAGCGCGCGCAGGCGGUUCUUUAAGUCUGGUGUGAAAGCCCACGGCUCAACCGUGGAGGGUCAUUGGAAACUGGAGAACUUGAGUACAGAAGAGGAAAGCGGAAUUCCACGUGUAGCGGUGAAAUGCGUAGAGAUGUGGAGGAACACCAGUGGCGAAGGCGGCUUUCUGGUCUGUAACUGACGCUGAGGCGCGAAAGCGUGGGGAGCAAACAGGGAUUAGAUACCCUGGUAGUCCACGCCGUAAACGAUGAGUGCUAAGUGUUAGGGGGUUUCCCGCCCCUUAGUGCUGCAGCUAACGCAUUAAGCACCCCGCCUGGGGAGUACGGCCGCAAGGCUG
rnacentral:rRNA from 1 species